rnacentral:rRNA from 1 species
CCAGAUCAGAAGCGAGAAUGUUGACAUGAGUAGCGACAAACAGGGUGAGAAACCCUGUCGCCGAAAGUCCAAGGGUUCCUGCUUAAAGCUAAUCUGAGCAGGGUAAGCCGGCCCCUAAGGCGAGGCCGAAAGGCGUAGUCGAUGGGAACCAGGUUAAUAUUCCUGGGCCAGUGGGAUGUGACGGAUCGCAGAUGUAGUUUGCCCUUAUCGGAUUGGGUGGGCUGCUGAGCGGUUCCAGGAAAUAGCCCCACGUCAGACCGUACCCUAAACCGACACAGGUGGACUGGUAGAGUAUACCAAGGCGCUUGAGAGAACCACGUUAAAGGAACUCGGCAAAAUGCCUCCGUAAGUUCGCGAGAAGGAGGCCCCAUAUGUACGCAAGUAUGUGUGGGGGGCACAAACUAGGGGGUGGCGACUGUUUACUUAAAACACAGGGCUGUGCGAAGCCGUAAGGCGACGUAUACAGUCUGACGCCUGCCCGGUGCUGGAAGAUUAAGAGGAGGGGUGCAAGCUCUGAAUUGAAGUCCCAGUAAACGGCGGCCGUAACAAUAACGGUCCUAAGGUAGCGAAAUUCCUUGUCGGGUAAGUUCCGACCUGCACGAAUGGCGUAACGAUCUCCCCGCUGUCUCUAACGUGGACUCAGCGAAAUUGAACUGUGUGUCAAGAUGCACACUACCCGCGGUUAGACGGAAAGACCCCAUGAACCUUUACUCCAGCUUUGCACUGGUAUCAGGAUUGUGAUGUGCAGGAUAGGUGGUAGGCAUUGAAGCGGGGACGCCAGUCUUCGUGGAGCCUCCCUUGAGAUACCACCCUUCGCCAUCUUGAUAUCUAACCGCGGCCCGUUAUCCGGGUCCGGGACCCUGCAUGGUGGGGAGUUUGACUGGGGCGGUCGCCUCCCAAACAGUAACGGAGGCGCGCGAUGGUUGGCUCAGACCGGUCGGAAAUCGGUCGUUGAGUGCAAUGGCAGAAGCCAGCCUGACUGCAAGACUGACAAGUCGAGCAGAGACGAAAGUCGGUCAUAGUGAUCCGGUGGUCCCAAGUGGGAGGGCCAUCGCUCAACGGAUAAAAGGUACUCUGGGGAUAACAGGCUGAUGAUGCCCAAGAGUCCAUAUCGACGGCAUCGUUUGGCACCUCGAUGUCGGCUCAUCUCAUCCUGGGGCUGGAGCAGGUCCCAAGGGUAUGGCUGUUCGCCAUUUAAAGAGGUACGUGAGCUGGGUUUAGAACGUCGUGAGACAGUUCGGUCCCUAUCUGCCGUGGGUGCAGGAGACUUGAGAAGACUUGACCCUAGUACGAGAGGACCGGGUUGAACGAACCACUGGUGGACCAGUUAUCGUGCCAACGGUAGUGCUGGGUAGCUAUGUUCGGACAGGAUAACCGCUGAAGGCAUCUAAGCGGGAAGCCCCCUUCAAAACAAGGUCUCCCUUGAGGGCCGUGGAAGACGACCACGUCGAUAGGCCAGAGGUGUAAGUGCAGCAAUGCAUUCAGCUGACUGGUACUAAUUGCCUGA